GAUGAACGCUGGCGGCGUGCCUAAUACAUGCAAGUCGAGCGAACAGACGAGGAGCUUGCUCCUCUGACGUUAGCGGCGGACGGGUGAGUAAAACGUGGAUAACCUACCUAUAAGACUGGGAUAACUUCGGGAAACCGGAGCUAAUACCGGAUAAUAUAUUGAACCGCAUGGUUCAAUAGUGAAAGACGGUUUUGCUGUCACUUAUAGAUGGAUCCGCGCCGCAUUAGCUAGUUGGUAAGGUAACGGCUUACCAAGGCAACGAUGCGUAGCCGACCUGAGAGGGUGAUCGGCCACACGGGAACUGAGACACGGUCCAGACUCCUACGGGAGGCAGCAGUAGGGAAUCUUCCGCAAUGGGCGAAAGCCUGACGGAGCAACGCCGCGUGAGUGAUGAAGGUCUUCGGAUCGUAAAACUCUGUUAUUAGGGAAGAACAAAUGUGUAAGUAACUAUGCACGUCUUGACGGUACCUAAUCAGAAAGCCACGGCUAACUACGUG
rnacentral:rRNA from 1 species